CCUACGGGUGGCAGCAGUGAGGAAUAUUGGUCAAUGGACGAGAGCCUGAACCAGCCAAGCCGCGUGAAGGAUGACUGCUCUAUGGGUUGUAAACUUCUUUUAUAAAGGAAUAAAACGAGGCACGUGUGCCUUUUUGCAUGUACUGUAUGAAUAAGGAUCGGCUAACUCCGUGCCAGCAGCCGCGGUAAUACGGAGGAUCCGAGCGUUAUCCGGAUUUAUUGGGUUUAAAGGGAGCGUAGGUGGGUUGAUAAGUUAGUUGUGAAAGUUUGCGGCUCAACAUUAAAGUUGCAAUUGAUACUGGCAGUCUUGAGUACAGUUGAGGUAGGCGGAAUUCGUGGUGUAGCGGUGAAAUGCUUAGAUAUUACGAAGAACCCCGAUUGCGAAGGCAGCUUACUAAACUGUGACUGACAUUGAUGCACGAAAGUGUGGGUAUCAAACAGGAUUAGAUACCCGGGUAGUC
rnacentral:rRNA from 1 species